rnacentral:rRNA from 1 species
GACGAACGCUGGCGGCGUGCCUAAUACAUGCAAGUCGAACGCUGAAGGAGGAGCUUGCUUCUCCGGAUGAGUUGCGAACGGGUGAGUAACGCGUAGGUAACCUGCCUGGUAGCGGGGGAUAACUAUUGGAAACGAUAGCUAAUACCGCAUAAGAGUAGAUGUCGCAUGACAUUUGCUUAAAAGGUGCAACUGCACCACUACCAGAUGGACCUGCGUUGUAUUAGCUAGUUGGUGAGGUAACGGCUCACCAAGGCAACGAUACAUAGCCGACCUGAGAGGGUGAUCGGCCACACUGGGACUGAGACACGGCCCAGACUCCUACGGGAGGCAGCAGUAGGGAAUCUUCGGCAAUGGACGGAAGUCUGACCGAGCAACGCCGCGUGAGUGAAGAAGGUUUUCGGAUCGUAAAGCUCUGUUGUAAGAGAAGAACGAGUGUGAGAGUGGAAAGUUCACACUGUGACGGUAGCUUACCAGAAAGGGACGGCUAACUACGUG